UUUUGUACAAUGUCGGCAAAAAAAUCCAGUCUUGGGAAGCGUUUUUCCGGUGAUGGACAACCAUCUAAUCCAGAGCAUGAAGACGGCACGAGCCAUAAAGUUUGCCAUGGAAGAGUUCCUGCGACAAGUGAUGGAAAGGCUAAUGACCUCAGCAUUUUCUGUGAACAUCCGACCUAAAUUUAUCUCCAUUGCGGAAAUUUUGGUCGUUUCAACCUUGAUGGGCCCGACAACUAAAUUUCGAAUACGCACCAAUAUACUGAACCAGGAAAUUUGUAUGCUGUUUCCCUAAGCGGACCAAGAGCUGGAAAAUUACCAGCAUUCGAGAUUUCUGUUGAAGGUCCAGUCCGGACCAGUCCGGAAUUUGAACGAACCCGUACAUUUUGCUGAAAAAGGCCUUUUCGAGCAUCUUGCUUGAUUGAUUGAUUUUUAAUAUUUAAACAGGAACAUCCAAUUUAGCCAAGGCUAGUUUAAAUGGAGU